rnacentral:rRNA from 1 species
CCCAGUCGAGCGGCGAACGGGUGAGUAACGCGUGGAUAACCUGCCCAGAGGUGGGGGAUAACCCGGGGAAACUCGGGCUAAUACCGCAUACGACCGUGAGGUCAAAGGGGGCUCGCAAGAGCUCUCGCCAUUGGAGGGGUCCGCGUACGAUUAGCUAGUUGGUAGGGUAAUGGCCUACCAAGGCGACGAUCGUUAGCCGGCCUGAGAGGGUGAUCGGCCACACUGGAACUGAGACACGGUCCAG